AGCGACGCAUUCCUUAGCCCGUAAGGGCGGGUUUGACGGAGCGGCGAACGGGUGCGUAACACGUGACCAAUCUGCCCCGAAGACCGGGAUAGCCCGGGGAAACCCGGAUUAAUACCGGAUGACCUCAUCAUCACGCAUGUGGAGAUGAGCAAAGGUUCAGGCGCUUCGGGAUGAGGUCGCGGCCCAUCAGCUUGUUGGUGAGGUAACGGCUCACCAAGGCAAUGACGGGUAGCUGGUCUGAGAGGACGAUCAGCCACACUGGAACUGAGAUACGGUCCAGACUCCUACGGGAGGCAGCAGGAGGGAAUCUUGCGCAAUGGGCGAAAGCCUGACGCAGCGAUGCCGCGUGGGGGAUGAAUGCCUUAGGGUUGUAAACCCCUUUCACGAGGGAAGAAACUGACGGUACCUCGAGAAGAAGCCCCGGCCAACUACGUGCCAGCAGCCGCGGUAAUACGUAGGGGGCGAGCGUUGUCCGGAUUUAUUGGGCGUAAAGGGCUCGUAGGCGGCUUGGCAAGUCGGCCGUGAAAACCCAGGGCUCAACUCUGGGACGCCGGUCGAUACUGCCAUGGCUAGGGUCCGGUAGAGGGGAAUGGAAUUCCCGGUGUAGCGGUGAAAUGCGCAGAUAUCGGGAGGAACACCAGUAGCGAAGGCGGUUCCCUGGGCCGGCACCGACGCUGAGGAGCGAAAGCGUGGGGAGCAAACAGGAUUAGAUACCCUGGUAGUCCACGCCGUAAACGUUGGGUACUAGGCGUGGCGUCUUAUCAACGGAUGCCGUGCUCGAAGCUAACGCGUUAAGUACCCCGCCUGGGGAGUACGGCCGCAAGGCUAAAACUCAAAGGAAUUGACGGGAGCCCGCACAAGCGGCGGAGCAUGCGGCUUAAUU
rnacentral:rRNA from 1 species